GUACUGCUUGGCCUUCAGAUAACCAGAACUAUUGACAGGUUAGAGGUUAAGGACAGGGAUAAUGUACUGCUUGGCCUUCAGAUAACCAGAGCUAUGGACAGGUUAGAGGUUAAGGACAGGGAUAAUGUACUGCUUGGCCUUCAGAUAACCAGAGUUCUGGACAGGUUAGAGGUUAAGGACAGGGAUAAUGUACUGCUUGGCCUUCAGAUAACCAGAACUAUGGACAGGUUAGAGGUUAAGGACAGGGAUAAUGUACUGCUUGGCCUUCAGAUAACCAGAACUAUGGACAGGUUAGAGGUUAAGGACAGGGAUAAUGUACUGCUUGGCCUUCAGAUAACCAGAGUUCUGGACAGGUUAGAGGUUAAGGACAGG